GGGCGUGGCUCCCGUUGGCCAAUGGGCGAACGCGACGGAGGGACGAGCCAGAGGGCGAAGGGUCGGCCAGACGCAGGGACGCCGCGCGUCAUCAAAUGACGCUGUUUGGAAAACUUUCGAGGCAGCUCUGCAGCUUAAAGAAAAUCCCAUGGUCAUGUGACUCCAGAUACUUCUGGGAAUGGUUGAAUACAGUGUUUAAUAAAGUAGAUUAUGAACGCCUCAGGGAUGUUGGCCCUGACAGGGCAGCAUCUGAGUGGCUACUUCGGUGUGGGGCCAAAGUACGCUACUGUGGCCAUCAGAAGUGGCUACAGGACUACAACAGCAUCCCAGGAGGCUCCAUGGACAAACACAAGAUUCAAGCAAUUGAUGCCACCGAUUCUUGUAUCAUGGACAUUGGAUUCGAUCACAUGGCUCUGACAAAGGACCAAAAAGGAAAACAAUCCAUUUGAGAAGAAACCUGUGGUGUUGACACUGGAGGUAGUAUGACAAAGGUCUGAUUCCAUGCUCCAAAGUAUGAGAAGUGACUUACCCGCCUGCAGCCUGAGUUUGCACACAUCAGACAGCUCGGCUCCUAUUCAGCAUCAGGAGCAGCAUGGUGGCAUUAUAAGAAAACACCGUUGGAGAAAAUGAAAACAAACCGCAGCAACAACGCACAUGCCACAAGUUACUACUCUUCUUUUUUCCUUGCUUUGUCUAAAAUGCCUUUCCUGACAAUAACUUUUGGCACUUAAAUUAACAGCAUUAUCAAAGUGGGUAUUAAUUAUUGCACCUAUUGACAUUUGUAUAAAGGGAACUUCAAAAUACAUUUUAUCCCUACCUUGAUGAACUCAUGCUUAUUGGAUUUCUGGAGGGAACACUGUUACCACCUCCCACAAUCACCUGAGGUCUCCCUGAUCAGCCCACAGUUUAGAGUCUUCCCAUCAGGCUCUCAUCUCCCUCGGCCCAGUUAAGGCUAGUGCUUGGCCCUCACUUGGUUGAAAGUAACAUCGAAAAUGGAAGGACCCCUCUGAACAAGUAAGUUAAGGAGCUGUUUCACUGAAAAGGCUAAUUGAAGAUGGAAGCUGAGCAGAAUCAAUGUCCACAGUGCAUCGUGUGUGUGACUAUGGUAGUGUGAGCUGAGGGCUGGAGCAAUUGGCCAGGCCCAUCAAAGCAUGGGGCUGGGGCUGUAUAUCAGAGCUUCAGAGCAGUGUUAUUUUAGACAGGGAGCCAGCCUCAACACAUUCUCAAUUGCCUGCUAAUGACCAAAAAAGGAAGUUCCUCCAUUUACCAAGAGGAAAAAAAAUAUCCUAACUUACCCUUGUAUUAGUCCUUGAGUGCGUAGCUUUUGCCCCCACAACUUAAACAGCUCUAUGUACUUAUCUAAGAUAAGCGAUGCUGCAGACUGACAUCGCUAAUGUCAGCUCUCCUAUCUCAGGAGCCAUGCCUAGGAUGACCUGCAUUGGCUGUAAUGCACCAGGCUCCUCCAGCCUGCUGAACCGGUUCCCCAGCCCCAGCCUUCAGCAGGCCUUGCUGGGCAGGGUUACUGACCCUGCAGAGGGAGAGGGCACAGAUGUUCAACCAGCACAGCCCUGUGUUGCUGCUUCCUGUGUUUCUGUCAACAGGAAAUCCCUUGCAGGACAACCUCUGGGACCCAGGAGAGGUGCUUCACAUUUAUAGAGCUGUGGCUCUUUCUGAGGCUUCGCCAGCAGAUAGUCAGCCAGGAAAUGGCUAAGGGAUAUUUGGUACAGAACUGGGGAUGUCCAGGUCACAAGGGAGCCAGCGGGUUGCUUCCCAUAAGCCAGGAGCUGUGCUUGCCUCUCCAUCCCAGCAUGGCCCACUUUCCUGAUGCUGGUAAUGCUGGUGGACAAAGACAAAGGCAACUGCAAGGGACAAGAGGAACUUCGAUCUGGAAGUGUUAGCUUCCAACUGAAAACACCUUUCCAAGACAAUAGAAACUCCACUCACAAACCUUAAUUAUGCCUCUAAACUUUAUUAUUACUCUUUUUUGUUGUUGUUGUUGUGCUAAGAGCCCACAGGGUCUGCCAGGCAGCACUCUACCACUGAGUUGCACUCACAACAAGUCAGGAAAUACGUUUUUAACUGUAAUACAGACCCAUUAGAAGGCAUUUCAAAAAUGUAA